GGACGAGGAACCAGGAGAUCAGAACAGACACCCAGGGGUUCCCACUGUGGGACGUUUUCUUGGCUGGAGACAGAGCUUUACCUGCAGGGAUGAAAAAGAAUACUCAGAUUCCAGCAGCAGUGCAGCCGAACAAAGCACACCACCAUUAGACGCUGGGCAAUCCAAACAAGUUUAAAGGAAGGGAACUCCUGAAGAUGAGGAACAAAGAAAAAAAAUGAGGUUUUCUGAUCCAACUGAGCUGUCAACCAGUGUCCAAGACAACACCAGAGUGAAAACACUCAAGAGAGAACAAGAGAACGAUGACGAGGAAGAGCAAAAAGCCAAGAGGAUUAAGCUUUGUCCUGAAGACCAAAAUAAAAGAUCCUCAAUCACCAAGAGUGAGAAAGAAGUUCCUUGACAGACAUGAGCUUUCAAAAAGCGGCCGUGGCUCAGAAGAACAGAGAAGAUGGACAGAUGAAGCAGGAGCAGAGAUGAGCUGUAAGAGGCACCGAGGAGGGGCGGUUAAGUGCUCUCAGGAGAGCAGACUGUGGUUAAGGAUUAUUAAAUGGGAUCAAUAACUAACAAGGCUUCUGCAUGCACAAACACACCCACACAUGCAGCCUCCCUUUCUUUCCCCUUUAUUCUCCAUCCUUCCAUCCGCUG